UACGUAGGGUGCGAGCGUUAAUCGGAAUUACUGGGCGUAAAGGGUGCGCAGGCGGUAUUAUAAGUCAGAUGUGAAAUCCCCGGGCUUAACCUGGGAACUGCGUUUGAAACUAUAAUGCUAGAGUAUAUAAGAGGGGGGUGGAAUUUCACGUGUAGCAGUGAAAUGCGUAGAUAUGUGAAGGAACACCGAUGGCGAAGGCAGCCCCCUGGGAUAAUACUGACGCUCAAGCACGAAAGCGUGGGGAGCAAACAGG
rnacentral:rRNA from 1 species